UAUUAUUUUGUUGUUGUUCUGUCAGCCUUUUUGGUCUAUUUCUGCAGGGCUUGGUAUAAUUUAGUAGUGCCAGGAGUUAUUUUCUUCCAUUAUGCCCUUUCUUUG